rnacentral:rRNA from 1 species
CAGUAGCCACGGUAAAACGGAGUGGGCUAGCGUUGUUCGGAAUUACUGGGCGUAAGGCGCACGUAGGCGGCUUGGUAAGUUAGAGGUGAAAGCCCGGAGCUCAACUCCGGAAUUGCCUUUAAGACUGCCGAGCUAGUAGGUGAGAGAGGUAAGUGGAAUUCCGAGUGUAGAGGUGAAAUUCGUAGAUAUUCGGAAGAACACCAGUGGCGAAGGCGGCUUACUGGCUCAUCCUAGACGCUGAGGUGCGAAAGCGUGGGGAGCAAACAGGAUUAGAUACCCCAGUAGUCCCUGUCUCUUAUAC